ACNUNNAGAGAUGUAAGCUUCCCUUCGGGGACAGGGAGACAGGUGCUGCAUGGCUGUCGUCAGCUCGUGUCGUAAGAUGUUGGGUUAAGUCCCGCAAUGAGCGCAACCCUUGUCCUUAGUUGCUACCAUUAAGUUGAGCACUCUGAGGAGACUGCCGGUGUUAAACCGGAGGAAGGCGGGGAUGACGUCAAGUCCUCAUGGCCCCUACAUCCAGGGCUACACACGUACUACAAUGGCAAAGACAAAGGGUCGCGAAACCGCGAGGUGAAGCUAAUCCCAAAAACAUUGUCUCAGUCCGGAUUGAAGUCUGCAACUCGACUUCAUGAAGCUGGAAUCGCUAGUAAUCGCAGAUCAGCACGCUGCGGUGAAUACGUUCCCGGGCCUUGUACACACCGCCCGUCACACCACGNAAAGUGGUCAUAACCAGAAGCAGGUGCACCAACCGCAAGGGGGU
rnacentral:rRNA from 1 species